rnacentral:rRNA from 1 species
UACGUAGGGGCCUAGCGUUGUCCGGAUUUAUUGGGCGUAAAGAGCUCGUAGGCGGUUCGGUAAGUCAGGUGUGAAAUCUCCACGCUCAACGUGGAGGCGCCACCUGAAACUGCCGUGACUCGAGUCCGGUAGGGGAGUGUGGAAUUCCCGGUGUAGCGGUGAAAUGCGCAGAUAUCGGGAGGAACACCCGUAGCGAAGGCGGCCUGCUGGGCAGUAGCUGACACUGAUGCGCGACAGCGUGGGGAGCAAACAGG